rnacentral:rRNA from 1 species
AUUGAACGCUGGCGGCAGGCUUAACACAUGCAAGUCGAACGAGUGGCGGACGGGUGAGUAAUGUCUGGGAAACUGCCCGAUGGAGGGGGAUAACUACUGGAAACGGUAGCUAAUACCGCAUACCAUCGGAUGUGCCUAAAUGGGAUUAGCUUGUAGGUGUGGUAACGGCUCAUGUAGGCGACGAUCCCUAGCUGGUCUGAGAGGAUGACCAGCCACACUGGAACUGUGACACGGUCCAGCUGCCUACGAGAGGCAGCAGGGGGGAAUAUUGCACGAUGGGAGCAAGCCUGAUGCAGCCAUGGCGCGUGUAUGAAGAAGGCCUUCGGGUUGUAAAGUACUUUCAGCGGGGAGGCGUUACCCGCAGAAGAAGCACCGGCUAACUCCGUGCCAGCAGCCGCGGUAAUAC